CUUUCUCGAGAUUUCGAAAAUCGAAAACUCCGUACCCACCCAUCAAGCGAACCGGCAAUCGCCGACUUUCACCUUUUGCGUCCAUGUUUUUUCCUCACCGGUAAGCCAUAGAUACUCUCAAUUCUCUUUUCUCUCGUAAUUUGGUUGAGAGAAUUAGGGAUAAUCGAUGCAUCGUUGAAAAUUUUGACCUUCUAGGGUUUAUCCGCUUCGUCUUGUCUUUUAUUUUCUAUUGUAAUCUGAUCAUUUUCGAGUUACUCAUCUCGAAAAUCGAGGAUCCGAUACUUUUAUUUGGUUCGGAUGUUCUGAUUGCUUGUCAUAGGAUGAUUUCGUAUUGAUUAACUACUGGGUUUUGCUUUUCCUUGGAAUUGGGGCCGUGCUUCUUGUUUACGAAGGUUCAGGGUUUAUAAGCGAACAACUCAGAAGGAAAUUCUUGAAUUGGAAAUUGGGUUUCCGACUAUUUGAGGUUUAUUCAUGGCUGCUGGGAGGAAUGGGGGUUAUAAUGAUAAUGGGUUUAGGAAGAGGGAUUCUGAAUUUGAGGUGAUGAGGCGAGAAUUUGGUAAUUCUAAAGAUUAUGAGUCAUCUAGGAAUGAUAGCCGUAAUGACGAAAGGGUUCGAGUACAGGAGGCAAGAGAUAGAGUUAGGGUAAGACAAAAGGAAACUAAGGAGAGGGAAGCUGUAAAUGGUGGCUAUUGGCCCUCUUCGAGUAGAAGCGAUUCUGAUGGCACUGGUGGCAGAGGUAGUCGUGGUCCCAGGCGAUGUGGGUUUUCUCUUAGGGUAAUAGAUAAGGAACCUGGUGAGUUGUCUAGUGAAAGCGAAUCAGAAGAUGCCAUGGAGUAUGAGUCGGUGGUUAGAAAUAGUGAGGCUGUGAAAGCAAUGGAUAAUGAUGCUCAGUCUCUUGUGGGAAAGAAAAGGAAGUUUUCACCUAUAGUAUGGGAUAUAGAUGAUAAGGAAUUAAGCACCGCAUCGAAAAGUAGGAAGUCAUCAGCAGUCAUAGCCUUUCCUCCACCAAUAGUGCCUAAAGCUCAUCGCAGUUCACCUAACAAGAUAUCGGGUGGGACCGUACUGACUUCUUCUGUUAGAGAAAGCAAAAAGGAUAAAUCACAAUCUCCUUCGCCAGUUGCUGCUGCUGCUGUUGAAAUUGUUGGAUACUCUGCUUUGGAGUCUCCAGUCGAUUUGGAUUUGUCUCCACCAAAAGAGCAGGUUAACAAUCAAGAUACUGGGAAACUAGAAGAUUAUGUACCAACCCGACAUAUAUCUUCCUCUAGAUGGGCAUCUGGUGGUAGUUCUCCUGGUGAUGAGGGUGAAAUUUUUGAAGAUGAGAAAAUGCCUAAAACGAGGAAAAAGUUGCCUGUUUCAGAAACUGCUCAUGAAAGAUCUCAGAAUAAGUCAACAACACCAGAGCUUGAGGAGCUUAACGGGGAAGGCUCAGAGGGAACUAGAGCCAGAUCAUCUGAAUCUGAUGAACGAGCUGCCCGUUCCAGGUCUGGAAGUGGGUAUGAUUACCCAGGUAAUUAUUCAGAGAAGAAUGACUACAUGGAGAUUGACGUUGAAUGUGAUAGAAAUGACAGUAGUGUUAGGGAGUCCAAUACAGAUUCUGAGAAUGAAAAUGAUUCACCUGGAAUGCCAGAACCUCCAGUUUCUCCUUUGAGAAGUGUAAACAUGCUUCAGGGAUGUAGGAGUGUAGAUGAAUUUGAGAGACUAAAUAAGAUAGAUGAAGGUACUUAUGGCGUUGUGUAUAGAGCUAGGAACAAGAAGACGGGGGAAAUUGUGGCAUUGAAGAAGGUAAAGAUGGAGAAAGAAAGAGAAGGUUUUCCUCUGACCUCUCUGAGGGAAAUAAACAUUCUUCUUUCGUUUCAUCACCCAUCGGUUGUAGAUGUUAAAGAAGUAGUUAUAGGCAGUAGCCUUGAUAGUAUCUUUAUGGUGAUGGAAUACAUGGAACACGAUCUGAAAGGGCUGAUGGAAACAAUAAAACAACCAUUCGGCCAAAGUGAAGUUAAAUGCUUGAUGCUGCAGCUACUGGAGGGUGUCAAGUAUCUUCAUGAUAACUGGGUUCUCCAUCGAGAUUUGAAGACAUCUAAUCUUCUUUUAAAUAACCAAGGUGAAUUGAAGAUUUGUGAUUUUGGGUUGGCUCGUCAUUAUGGAAUCCCGUUAAAACCAUAUACGCAUUUGGUGGUUACUCUUUGGUACAGGGCACCAGAACUUCUUUUGGGUGCAAGACAAUAUUCCACCGCAAUUGACAUGUGGUCUCUGGGUUGUAUCAUGGCUGAAUUACUAUCGAAAGAAGCACUUUUCAGUGGGAAAACUGAAUUUGAUCAACUUGACAAGAUUUUCAGAACACUUGGCACACCAAAUGAGACAAUAUGGCCUGGUUUUUCAAAGUUGCCUGGUGUCAAGGUCAACUUUGUCAAGCAUCAGUAUAAUCUAUUGCGCAAAAAGUUCCCAGCCACAUCAUUCACGGGUACACCUGUUCUCUCUGAUGCUGGAUUUGACUUGCUGAAUAAACUUCUUACUUAUGAUCCUGAGAAGCGUAUAACAGCUGGAGAUGCUGUUAACCAUGAGUGGUUUCGCGAAGUUCCCCUUCCCAAGACUAAAGCUUUCAUGCCCACUUUCCCUGCCCAACAUGCUCAAGACAGGCGAAUGAGAAGAGUGCUGAAGAGUCCAGAUCCUUUGCAAGAGCAACGUAAGGAGGAGUGGCAACAAGGGGAAUUGGGGACUCGUAGUUUGUUUGGCUAAGAAAGUUCAUCCAUCAGUGCCAUUUAAUCUUCAUGUUUUAGAUUUUUCACGUUAUUGUUAGAGGGACAUUAUUGAGGCACUGAUGAUGAUUUGUCUGGAGAUAUUGUAUGCCUCUACCUGUGAGCCAGAUGCUUUGCAGGUUAAUCUGAUUUCCAGCUUUUUCAUCAUAUGAAAAUGCAUACGACACUGCUUGCAUUGCAAGUUGUGGCAUAUCAGCCUCGUUUUCUUUUAGCAAUCAGGUUCAGCUGAGACUUGUGCAACAUAUUUUGUUGGAACAAUGAUGUAAUCCUUCUUUUUAUAGCUGGUUUUGAAUACUAAAAAAUAUGGCUUCUUCCUACUGUGAGUCCCAUCUUUUUUAAUAUUCACAUUGUGUUUGAAAGAGAUGGUUGGUGUGGAGUGGGGAGGACAUUCUUUGCCUUCCAUUGAUGAAGAAAUUGACAGUAACCAUUAUACAUCAAAGGUGAUCCAAGUUAUAAUCAGGUCUGGAAUCCUUUUAUGACUAGCUUCAGUUUCAAAGCAAGCAGGUAGAGGAGGUUGAUUGCCUGCAUAUUCUGGAUUUUAUCCAACUUUCCAAUUAGUUUGUCCCUUGUGGAGAACUCUAAUUGAUAACCCUGUUAGUUGCUGCUGUCAAAGUUGGACAUAAAUUGCACUAAAGUUGAGGGAUUAAAUCUCAAGGUUGAAGAUUGUUGAGGGCUGGAACUAUAAAUUAGACCUUUUUACAACCUUACGGCUAGGAUAGGGUUUUCUUACAUACGUUAUCCUCUCCCCUUAUAUUCAUUUAUCAUCCAGUUAAUUGCACCCAAUAUUCCCAAACUAUGU